rnacentral:rRNA from 1 species
UACGGAGGGUGCAAGCGUUGCUCGGAAUUAUUGGGCGUAAAGGGUAGGUAGGUGGUCUCAUUUGUCUUAGGUGAAAUCCUUGGGCUUAACCCAAGAAGUGCCUCAGAAACGGUGAGACUAGAGUCCUGGAGAGGGUCGUGGAAUUCCCGGUGUAGCGGUGAAAUGCGUAGAGAUCGGGAGGAACACCAGAGGCGAAGGCGGCGACCUGGACAGGUACUGACACUCAACUACGAAAGCGUGGGGAUCAAACAGG